AUGUUAAAAAGAACUGUGCUGGCUAACAUUUGCAGGCCAAACAAUGAUAAACCCAGAUCUGUAGGCCUCUCCUUUGCAAUCUGCUUUCUACAGGGUUUAAUGCAGGAAACUCUGGAAGGGGAAGUUAGAAGAGAAAGCUGGCAGAAAUCAGGAUCUUGCUGGAAUAUUUGUUCCUUGGAAAAUGAGCUUCGAUUCAUUCUGCCAACUGCAGGCCUUCACGGAUCCUCGUACGCUAGCGACCUUUAAGAAAAGCAGAAGCCGAGAAUACUGAUCGCGUUCUCCAGCCCGAAAACAGGGGAGCAGGUUUCGGGGUGUCUCACGUCGGAACCCGCCUUCAACCAGCAUGAGCGCGGCUAGCCCCUCCGGAGACCUUACUCUCCCACUUGUCCGUCCCCCCCACACCCUGCCAGCCUGAGUUUCCCCCAGUUACAUCUGCUUUCUCUCCCCAGAACGUGAACACCAAAAUCCUGAAUUCAUUUGUAGCUUUGCAAGAGGCAGGUCUAGCCCAAGAGCUUUAAAUGGCAAUUUGUUCUCUGAAGCUUCGUUCCCAGGCAGGGCUCCGAGCUCUGCGUUUAUCUAACCAGCCGCCCCAGAAGGACUUUGGGGUGGAAGACAAACCUGUCUCUUUGGCCUUGUCGAGCUGGACAAAUAAAAGAAUUUUCGUUGCUGAGAGUCUACGACGA
rnacentral:lncRNA from 1 species